CCCUUAGAUGUCCUGGGCCGCACGCGCGCUACACUGAUGCAUGCAACGAGUUUAUAACCUUGGCCUGAAAGGUCUGGAUAAUCUUUUGAACGUGCAUCGUGAUAGGGAUAGAUUAUUGCAAUUGUUAAUCUUGAACGAGGAAUUCCUAGUAAACGCGAGUCAUCAGCUCGCAUUGAUUACGUCCCUGCCCUUUGUACACACCGCCCGUCGCACCUACCGAUUGAAUGGUUCGGUGAAGAUCUCGGACUUCGAUAUUUAUUCUUUAUUGAGUUUAUAUUGUGGGAAGUUAUCUAAACCUCAUCAUUUAGAGGAAGGUGAAGUCGUAACA
rnacentral:rRNA from 1 species